GACGAACCGUGCAAACGUUGUUCGGAAUCACUGGGCUUAAAGGGCGCGUAGGCGGGUCUCCAAGUCGGUGGUGAAAUCUUUCAGCUCAACUGGAAAAGUGCCGCCGAUACUGGGGAUCUCGAGGGAGGUAGGGGUCGAUGGAACUAAUGGUGGAGCGGUGAAAUGCGUAGAUAUCAUUAGGAACGCCGGUGGCGAAAGCGAUCGACUGGACCUCUUCUGACGCUGAGGCGCGAAAGCCAGGGGAGCAAACGGGG
rnacentral:rRNA from 1 species